rnacentral:rRNA from 1 species
CGGCAACAGCUCAAAUUUGAAAUCUGGCGUAAGCCCGAGUUGUAAUUUGCAGAGGAUGCUUCGGGUGAAGCCACGGUCCAAGUCCCUUGGAACAGGACGUCAUAGAGGGUGAGAACCCCGUACCUGGCCGUCGGUGCCCCCCGCUGUGAAGCUCCUUCGAC